AUUGUCAGCUAUACAGGGCCUCUCAUUCGCUAGCAGUCCAGAAUCCUGAAUUGUCUUCCUCAGACUACAGAAAGCAGAUUCUGUGAAUCCUUUUCUGUCCUUUUCUGCCUCUCUACUUUUAAUUGUAAUGGUUGUGGUUAUGCAGUUGUUGAAAGAGCAUUCCAUCUUUGUGGUUGCCUCCAAAAAGUCAUCGCUUGAUAAAUGUCAUCUUCCAUUAGGAAUUAGAUUGUUCGUCUCCGCUGGCCAUAUGUAAUCCGAUCUGUUCAAGGCAGCUGCAUCCAUGAAAGGUGUUGCAGAAUUGGUGCUAGAUUAUAUAACCAAGCAGAUUGUCAUUUUCUGAAGGCGUUUUCUAUAGAGGUUUAGUUGAACAUGGAGACAAUAACCGAUUGCUUGAAGGCAGGAAUGUCUGGUAUUGCUCACCUGCAAAAUGAUGUAAACUCGCGAUUUAUGGUGGUUUUGAAUGGGUGACUUGCUCUUAUAAAGUUCUGGAACAUAAACUGCUUUGGAGCCAGCAGCACUCAGUAGCCAGAACAACGGCCUUUCUCUCCCUUAUCGGAAAAGAGGUACUUUCAGGGUAAACAAGAAGCUAAAGCAUAAUCAAAGGAUUUGUCGACCUAUUGUGGAAGGGUCAAAAAAUUGCAUCAUUACAAAGCGUAGGCAUGGGACUUACAAAUGACUCCUUUCAAGUGGUCUGGGCAUUACAUAGAGAAAGGCAGCUAAAGCUUGCAUGGGUUAUCACUGGUGUCCUCGAAGCAUGCCAUUCUUUGGGUGUCAUGCAUUGGGACUUAAAGCCAGAGAUUUUCUAUUUGUCAACCAGAAAGAGGAUGCACCACUUAAGACAAUAGAUUUUGGGCUCUCUGUGUUCUUUAGACCAGAUUAAAAUGGUACGAUUCUGCUUGAUGAUCGUGGAAGCCAGCGAUUCUGCUUCUACAAAAAAUGCACCGAUGUCGUUCCAGAUCACUACUCCAAACCUCCCGCAAACUCCAAAGCAGGAUAAUUCAUACUUGGAUAGCUACAUCAGCACAAUUGGAGUUGAAUUUAUUAAAUGUCUUAUUCAUGUGGUUAAGGCUGGUGCAUUCAAGUCCCGCAGCAACGCGCGGGCAUUUUAGCUAGUGUGAAACAAAAUACGUCACUAGAUGUGCUGCCCUAUUAUAUUCUGGAAGAGAAAAAUAAAAUCUUUUGACCUCAGUUGUUUUUAAAAAUUCUAGCUUAAAUAUUAAACUCUUUGGUUCAAAUUAUGUUUAUUACUGUCUUAAUACUUGUAAAAUAUGGGACAUAUCAGACGACUUAUAACCAAGAUAAAGUUUCUUUACUCACCAACGAACACUAAUCACUUAUCACUAGCUAUUAGGGUCAAGACUACCAUUUGCACCCUUUACAUUUUGAU
rnacentral:sRNA from 1 species